UACAGAGGGUGCAAGCGUUGUUCGGAAUCAUUGGGCGUAAAGCGCACGUAGGCGGCAUUGCAAGUCAGGUGUGAAAGCCUGGGGCUCAACCCCAGAAGUGCAUUUGAAACUGCAGUGCUUGAGUCUUGGAGAGGGCAGUGGAAUUCCGAGUGUAGAGGUGAAAUUCGUAGAUAUUCGGAGGAACACCAGUGGCGAAGGCGACUGCCUGGACAAAGACUGACGCUGAGGUGCGAAAGCGUGGGGAGCAAACAGG
rnacentral:rRNA from 1 species